UAUUUGAAGGGCAAUGAACUUGAAGUCUGCCUUGCUCAAGACAUGUGCUCAGCACCUCAGUACCUGGGUGGAAGCCCACAGAACGAGCAUGCAUCUGGUUCUGAUGUACCUGCCAACCUGGCCUGGAGAUAGAUGCUUAGGCUGUGUGGCCCACAUCUGACCUGUUUGAGAUGAGCAGGUCCUUGGCUCAGCAGCACCAAAGGUUUUGAUUACUUCAGAGCACUAGGUGGCCUCUUGUCUUCUGUGACAAUCCUGGACCUCCUCCUCACUUCUAUUUUGUCAGAGUUAAUUGCCCGGCAGUGGGGUGUCUCUCAUGGUGGGAUGACCAAGAAAUACUGCAGGGAAGGAAAGACUCCUCACAGAAAAAAUUGACAAGACAUAGACACAUGAAAUUGCAUCAACUACAGUGGACCUAUCAGCCAAAAGUGCAUCUAUCUCAUUUGUACUUGGAUGUAGCUAAGGGUAGUAUGCUGUGCCACUUGCUGCCUCUUAAAAAUCUCAUCAAGUCUACCUGACUGGCAGAAAUUUUUAGAAGAUCCCUACUGGGGCCAUUUGUGAGGUGGCCCUGAGCAGUCCAGGCCAGUGAGGAGAAGGGGAUGAAGGUUUGGAGCAGAUAGACACGGUUUGCCCUGCCUGUGCCUUUGGGACCAGGCUUUCCUUAGAAGAGCCAGCUUUGUGAAUGUGACCUCCCGCUGCUGUAGCACUUUACAGCCCAACAGCCUGGUCAAGGAGUAAGCUUUCCUGAACUGCAGGAGCGACUGAGGUUGGCACUGGCAGGGCUCAGAAGGUGUGAGACCUUGCUUCCCCUGGCCUUUCUACCUGCACAUAGAGAAAACUGGAAAAAAUUGAGUAUGUGCACCUCUCCUCACAGAUGGGGCAGUUUGGAUCAAACCUGCUGCGCCCACCUCUAUUCCUGAAAGUGGGCACCAUGUCCGAGGGGCAGAAUGAGGUGUGACAGGUUUGACACCUUUCAUUUCAGUGCUCAAAUCAGUAUCUAGUUUGUUUAAGUGUACAAAAUUCCAGCCAACUAAGUGGGCUUGCCUUCUGCUGAGAGCCAGUUCUGGUGGAUACAACUCAUGCUGAUCUCCCAGAAGUGCUUCAGCCAGACACCUCAUCUUUUAAAAAAAAAAAUUAUUAAAAAAAUGU